rnacentral:lncRNA from 1 species
GAUCAUAUUGAGAUUUUCUAUGCCGAGAAAGCUGUGAAUGUCUACGGUUAAGGCAUGGAUUGCAAAUCCAAGUGCUAUGGACUAAAUGUUUGUCCCCAACCCCCGUGGGCCAAAGGCAUAUGCCGAAGCCCUAACUCCUGAGGUGAUGUAUUAGGAGGUUCAGGCUUUGGUAGGGGGAAGGUUUAGAUGAGGUCAGGAGAAUGGCAGCCUUGAGAUGGGAUUCUAGAGGAACCGCAGGAGGCUUUGCUUCCUCUCUCUGCGCCCCGUGAGAACACAGUGGGAAAGCAGCCAUCCCCAAGCCAGGAGCAGAGUCCUCACCCAAAACCCACCACACUGGUACCCUGUUCUCAGAUUUCCAGUUUCAGAAGUGGGAGAAACAACUGUCUGUUGUUUAAGCCACCUGUCUCAGGUAUUUUGUUAUAACAGCCCAAACCGAUUAAGACACUAAGACCCAGGAGACUGGGUUCUGACUUGCUAGUCUCUGGCUGUGUGAAUCUGGUCAAAUCACCCUAGUUCACCAGCUCAUAUAGCUUUUCUCAUCUGUUAAAGAAUAGACUCUCUUUAUCAGAAGGUUGCUACGAGAACUCAAGGCAAUGAUGCUAGAAGUUGUGUAGCACACUGCUCAGCAGGUCAUAAAUGGCAGUUGUAGUUAUCAGCCUCUCCGACUUUAAAUGUAGGUGGCUCUGGAGAAAAAGAAGCCUCAGCAUCAGCACCACACAGAUCAUCUGAGUCCUAGAGCCCAACCAGCCUUGGAGGCCACAUGGUACGAAACAGCAGCCAGACACCAAGGUACUUGGUACCAAGACAAUACUCCUGAUCUCCAUCAUGAACCAAUCUAUGCCUUAUGGGUGAGCUCCCAUGAACCCGAGGAGGAACCACGGAUGUGAGCUGGCUCGUGCACCUUGUCCAUUCCCUGCCUGAGAGGCCUCUUCUGAGUGCCCAGGAUCUCACUCUGUCACCCGGACUGGAGUACAGCGGCACCAUCUUGGCUUACUGCAGCCGUGACCUUCUGGGCUCUGGCAAUACUCCCACCUCAGCCUCCCUAGGAGCUGGGGCUACAGGCACAUGCCACCACGCCCAGCUAAUUUUUGUAGAGAUGGGGUCUCACCAACUUUCCAGGGCUGAUCUGGAACUUCUGAGCUCAAGUGAUCCACCCACCCUGGCCUCCCAAAGUGCUGGUAUUACAGGCAUCAGCCACCACGCCCCGCCAAGCAAGAACUUUUGCCCUCUCAGUCCUCCACGAUCAGACGGAGUUCUGAGUCACUUUUAUGCCCCCUUCACACAACUUCACGCCGACUGUUUUUCCUCGAGAUACAGCCUCUGCUCCGUGCCCUGACUCAAUGCCAGCUCCUAACUUGCAGUUGUGUUCCUUGCUGUGACAUCCUAUAUGCUGAAUGUCCAUGGAGAAGUGUGGCUCACUUUAACCCGACUAAUUUCUAAAAAAUAAGUCAUCACAACCAAAGAUGGGCAUCAUGUUAAAAGACAGCUUUCAACACAAUCCAUGUAGCCCUGAGGGUAAUACAAGGUACACCAGGUACCAGGUAUACCAGGUGUUUCCCAUGUGUGCUUCCAGACAGAUUCCAACAGUCAGUCAUGACCAGACAAAUAUGUUUCCGAUAAGGACAUAGGCUUGAGAUCACUCUGAAAAGCAAGGAAAGUUGUACCACAGCAUGUUUAUAUCAACUGAUCUUGGACUUGGGACAGUUUAAAAGAGAUGAAAACAACAGAGUAACUUCAUUUUUUCUUGCAACUCAUUCAAAAUGUAUGAAUUUUGCAACUUUUUUUUUUUUUUUUUUUUGAGACGGAGUCUCACUCUGUCGCCCAGGUUGGAGUGCAGCGGUCUUAUCUCGGCUCACUGCAAGCUCCGCCUCCCGGUUGACAUCAUUCUCCUGCCUCAGCCUCCCAAGUAGCAGGGACUACAGGCACCUGCCACCAUGCCUGGCUAAUUUUUUUGUAUUUUUAGUAGAGUUGGGGUUUCACCAUGUUAGCCAGGAUGGUCUGCAGAAUUAUUUUUAUGCAGAAUUUUAUAUAGGCUACAAAAGGCCUUCGCAGGAUUAGAGGCAUUCCUCCUCUCUAGCUGCCCAAUCAGUCUUGGUCACCCCAGCCCCUCUCUCUGCUGCCCCCCACUUCACCCCGUCAAUGGCGAGUCCCUUUCUUACUCCUCCAAGGUCCACUGUGUGCACAAAGCAUCUUCCCAUAUUCAGAUCUGUUUCCAGUCAAACAGGUGACAAAUUCAUUCCAAUGAAAUUAUCUGUGACCGUUCACCUCUCCCACAUGCACCAACGUCUUAAGCCAGAGAAGCAAUACUUGUUUGACUUGAGUGAGUAAUAAAUGAUCAUUAUAAAUGGAAGAGAGAGGGUCUUCCCGCAGCCCUAGAAGUUUAAACACAGAAUUUUCCAGCUGCUUCUGCCACUUGAAUGCCAUGUAUAUAUAUUUUGCUGAAUAAAAACCAGGCCAAUUAUUUUUUCAGAUUAGUAAUUUUACCUAUAUAUGAAAUGCCUUACAAAUGUGUAACAUUUAAAUUGCAGGUACUAUACAUUCAAUUUUCUUUCAUCAAGUGGUGUAAACUCACUAAAAAUCAGUAUUAUCGUAGAAAACACAAAAGUCCUAGUAGGCAUCCCAAUCAGUAAAAGGGAUGGCCAUGAAAAGGGGAUGUGGUCAUAAAAUCAGCAACAGAAUUUUCCUGGCUUUAUUGUCCCUCAGUGAAGCUACGCUGCAAACCACUGUCACUGACGUAUGCUCCCCUGUUUCAAAGCAAACUUCAAUCUCCUCCAUAACCAUGCCCAGAAAAAACUUUUCUGUAAUGAAUGGUAUACUUUUGUAAUUUAAUACAAUUACAUUUAUAUUUUAAAAUAUUCAAUAUCUCAUUUUUUGUUGAUAUUUUAUGUCACAUUCGCAAAGCAUUUGGCACACCUACUAUAAGAGUGAGUGAAAAUUUUUUUUAAAAAAAAGGAAGGGAGGGAG